rnacentral:rRNA from 1 species
CAGUCGCCGCGGUAAUACGGAGGGAGCUAGCGUUGUUCGGAAUUACUGGGCGUAAAGCGCACGUAGGCGGCUUUGUAAGUUAGAGGUGAAAGCCUGGAGCUCAACUCCAGAACUGCCUUUAAGACUGCAUCGCUUGAAUCCAGGAGAGGUGAGUGGAAUUCCGAGUGUAGAGGUGAAAUUCGUAGAUAUUCGGAAGAACACCAGUGGCGAAGGCGGCUCACUGGACUGGUAUUGACGCUGAGGUGCGAAAGCGUGGGGAGCAAACAGGAUUAGAGACCCCUGUAGUCCCUGUCUCUUAUAC